rnacentral:misc_RNA from 1 species
GAUGAAGAACGCAGUGAAAUGCGAUAAUUAAUGUGAAUUGCAGAAUUCAGUGAAUCAUCGAAUCUUUGAACGCACAUUGCGCCCUCUGGUAUUCCGGGGGGCAUGCCUGUUCGAGCGUCAUUAUAACCACUCAAGCUCUCGCUUGGUAUUGGGGUUCGCGGUUUCGCGGCCCCUAAAAUCAGUGGCGGUGCCUGUCGGCUCUACGCGUAGUAAUACUUCUCGCGAUUGAGUUCGAUAGGUCUACUUGCCAGUAACCCCCAAUUUUUACAGGUUGACCUCGGAUCAGGUAGGGAUACCCGCUGAACUUAAGCAUAUCAAUAAGCGGAGGA